CACCUCUCACCUUACAAACCAAACAGGUGUCACCACUUCAUCCACAAUCACAGAGAGUCUUCGUACAGUGAGGAAGUUCUUUGAGACCAGGACUGAGGCCUCCAGGAUUCAAACUUAAACCAUUAAAUCAGAGAGAGGGAGACGUGAAGACAUUUCCAGAAGGUCUUCAGCUGCUGUUGUCAUCUCCUUCUGCAGAGACAAUAACAUGUAUUAAUCACAGAAACUGAUCAGUAAAUGGUAAUAUUUUAACGACAUACUAUUCUCUGACAUUUUUUGAUGUUUUUUAUGCC